ACCUCUUCCUCGGCCGCGCACUUAAUUCUCUCCUCCCUCCUUUCCACUUCUCUCUGCCAUCAUCGGAUACCACCACUUCCGGCCACCAAUUCACAACACCGCUACCGCCAAUCAAUUCUGGACCCAAUUCCGAUUAAAACCCAAGAAGAUCACUGCCAUCCACCGCUGCCAGCCUCAUCACGCGACCAUCAAAGUCGCGACGGCGCUGCUCCCUAGCUCUCAUCAAGUUUCGGCCAUUUUCUCAACACACCCCCGCCAUCAGCGUGCUCAGACGAAGCCGGACAUCAAAAUCCAGAAUCCUCGCCGCCGACCCAUCCGCGGAGGGCUCCGCAAGCCCCAUCGCCGGAAUCCUAGACUCUGGGUUUCUCCGGUCUUUCUUCUCCAAAUCGAAGCGAGCUCUAAUACCUCCAAGAAUGGAGUGCCUCUCCUUUUACCAAAACCAAGGGCCCCCGACUUCUGAUUUCAACCAGAGCCGCCGUGGACGCCGCCGGCUUAUCCUCUUCGUUCUGGUAACACAUUCUGCGAAACCUCUCUUCCGUUAAUAGGUUGAGUUCCAAUUUAACUGUAAUGGAGUUAUUAAUGGUCAGUUCUUUUGAUUGUUUUUCUUCAAUUUCGUACUUGGAGGAAACGGUGGAAAUUCAAAUGUGAAGGGGAGCUUUUGGUCUUGAUUUCUAUUGAGUUUUUAAAGGGAUGAUGAGGAACUUAGGAGGACUGCAGGAAGCACUAGGUCAUUGAGACUAUGGUCUCGGCAGAACUGGUACAAGGUAGGUUCUCCACAAAAGGGAAUCAUUUUCGCUGACAAGUAUUUGCCAAUAUAGGUUGAGUGAUUGGCAUCCUCAGUUCAUUGCUUCAUUGACAUGUAGCUACGUUACUUGAGCAAACCAAUUUGGGUAAGCUUCUCAUCCAUUCGAGUCAGCACAACAGUAGAUAGAUAAAUCACAGAGUGAAAGACAGAGGUCAAGGUGCGACCUACAGUGAGGCAACAAGUGUAUGGCAUUGAAAGACAGUGAGGUCAUAUCACUAAUAUGUAAGACGCUACCACAUUAGCGUGUUUGUGGACACAUUUGGAAGAACAAUUGUUGGAUGGAAUUGUCGGAAUGGUCCAGUAUUGGAACACGAAGAAUAGGCUCGUUGAAAAUAGUUUUAUAUAUGCACAGGAGACCACAUGACUUAACCAAGUGAAGUCUUCAAAGUAUACAGUAGUACCCUGAAUUUCUAUAAGAUCCCUGUAAUGCUGUCAACAAUUUCAGCUGUCAACAAUUUGUUAUGUGUUUGACUCUAAACAAAACCCCAAACUACAAAUUUCUGUUGUGUUUUAGUUGUGUUAUUGUUGUGUUACUCUGAUUGUAAAGAAUUGCUCUUGGGGCUUCACAUAUGAUAAUCGCCAUAAUUCUGUCUUAA